GUGGAUAUAGUUCAGCUGGUCAGAACGCCAGAUUGUGGCUCUGGAAGUCGUGGGUUCAAGUCCCACUAUCCACC
rnacentral:tRNA from 1 species